rnacentral:rRNA from 1 species
AACGCGAAGAACCUUACCUGGGCUAGAAUGCUGGUAGACCGUGGGUGAAAGCUCAUUUUGUAGCAAUACACUGCCAGUAAGGUGCUGCAUGGCUGUCGUCAGCUCGUGCCGUGAGGUGUUGGGUUAAGUCCCGCAACGAGCGCAACCCCCAUCACUAGUUGCCAUCAGGUAAAGCUGGGAACUCUAGUGAAACUGCCGUCGUAAGACGCGAGGAAGGAGGGGAUGAUGUCAAGUCAUCAUGGCCUUUAUGCCCAGGGCUACACACGUGCUACAAUGGGGAGGACAAAGGGCUGCAACACAGCGAUGUGAAGCUAAUCCCAAAAACCUCCUCUCAGUUCAGAUUGCAGUCUGCAACUCGACUGCAUGAAGCUGGAAUCGCUAGUAAUCGUAUAUCAGCAAUGAUACGGUGAAUACGUUCCCGGGCCUUGUA